GACGAACGCUGGCGGCGUGCUUAACACAUGCAAGUCGAACGGCAAGGCCCUGCUUUUGUGCGCUGAUCGAGUGGCGAACGGGUGAGUAACACGUGAGUAACCUGCUCUAGACUUUGGGAUAACUUCACGAAGCUGAGGCUAAUACCGGAUAGCAGAUGCUGCUGCAUGGUGGGCAGUGGAACGUUUCUGCGGGUGGGGAUGGACUGGCGGGUGAUGAGCUUGUUGGUGGGCGAGUGGCUUACCAAGGAUUUGACGGGUAGCCGGCCUGGGAGGGUGACCGGGCACAAGGGGACUGCGAGACGGCACAGACGGCUACGGGAGGCAGCAGUGGGGAAUAUGGCACAAUGGGCGGAAGUCGGAGACGGCAACGCCGCGUUCGGGAUGACGGUCUUUGGGUUGAAAACCGCAGUAGCCUGUGACGACGCGUUAGUGACGGUAAUGGGUAAAGAAGCACCGGCUAACUACGUG
rnacentral:rRNA from 1 species